rnacentral:rRNA from 1 species
AUUGAACGCUGGCGGCAGGCCUAACACAUGCAAGUCGAACGAGUGGCGGACGGGUGAGUAAUGUCUGGGAAACUGCCUGAUGGCGGGGGAUAACUACUGGAAACGGUAGCUAAUACCGCAUCCCAUCGGAUGUGCCCUGAUGGGAUUAUCUAGUAGUUGGGGUAACGGCUCACCUAGGCGACUAUCCCUAGCUGGUCUGAGAGGAUGACCAGCCAAACUGGAACGGAGACACGGUCCAGACUCCUACGGGAGGCAGCAGUGGGGAAUAUUGCACAAUGGGCGCAAGCCUGAUGCAGCAAUGCCGCGUGUAUGAAGAAGGCCUUCGGGUUGUAAAGUACUGUCAGCGGGGAGGCGGGAAGCGAAGAAGAAGCACCGGCUAACUCCGUGCCAGCAGCCGCGGUAAUAG